rnacentral:rRNA from 1 species
AGCAGCCGCGGUAAUUCCAGCUCCAAUAGCGUAUAUUAAAGUUGUUGCAGUUAAAAAGCUCGUAGUUGAAUUUCGGGACCAAUUUGUUGGUCGUGCCUCGGUACGUACUGGUAUUAUUGGUUUCUCCCUUCUGAAGAACCUCGAUGCCAUUAAUUUGGUGUCGUGGGGAAUCAGGACUGUUACUUUGAAAAAAUUAGAGUGUUUAAAGACAAGCAUACGCUUGAAUACAUUAGCAUGGAAUAAUGAAAUAGGACGUUUGAUUCUAUUUUGUUGGUUUCUAGGAUCGACGUAAUGAUUAAUAGGGAUAGUUGGGGGCAUUAGUAUUCAAUUGUCAGAGGUGAAAUUCUUGGAUUUAUUGAAGACUAACUACUGCGAAAGCAUUUGCCAAGGAUGUUUUCAUUAAUCAAGAACGAAAGUUAGGGGAUCGAAGACGAUCAGAUACCGUCGUAGUCUUAACCAUAAACUAUGCCGACUAGGGAUCGGAUGAUGUUAAUUUUUUAAUGACUCAUUCGGCGCCUUA